rnacentral:rRNA from 1 species
UGCGCAGGCGGCUUGGAAAGAACGGUGUGAAAUCCCGGGGCUCAACCCCGGAACUGCACUAUUAACUAUCAAGCUAGAGUAUGUCAGAGGGGGUGGAAUUCCGCGUGUAGCAGUGAAAUGCGUAGAUAUGCGGAGGAACACCAAUGGCGAAGGCAGCCCCCUGGGAUAAUACUGACGCUCAGGCACGAAAGCGUGGGUAGCAAACA